rnacentral:misc_RNA from 1 species
UACUCUCACACUCUCUGAUCCUUUGGAUUGGGAGUGGUGGACUUGGGUGUUGCUGUUACUGCGCGGCUCACCUCAAAUACAUUAGUGCAACUCCUGGUUGGACAUAGUACGGCGUGAUAAGUGUCUUCGCCGGCACCUCGCAAGAGGGUGGCUGAUCAGGAGCUCUGUGCUCCCAACCGUCUUUCAGACAACAACUGACA